rnacentral:tRNA from 1 species
UGGGGCGUCGCCAAGCGGUAAGGCAGCGGUUUUUGGUACCGCCAUCCGGAGGUUCGAAUCCUCCCGCCCCAGCCA